UACAGAGGGUGCGAGCGUUAAUCGGAAUUACUGGGCGUAGAGCGUGCGCAGGCGGUGAUGUAAGACAGAUGUGAAAUCCCCGGGCUCAACCUGGGACCUGCAUUUGUGACUGCAUCGCUAGAGUACGGCAGAGGGGGAUGGAAUUCCGCGUGUAGCAGUGAAAUGCGUAGAUAUGCGGAGGAACACCGAUGGCGAAGGCAAUCCCCUGGGCCUGUACUGACGCUCAUGCACGAAAGCGUGGGGAGCAAACAGG
rnacentral:rRNA from 1 species